UCUCUCCUUUUCCUUUUCUUCCUUCCUCUCCCCUCUUCACGCACACACCACUCAUUUCUCUCCCUUUAUUUUCUUUCCUUCAUUUUUCCCCCUUCCUCACGCCACACCUCGCUUCCAUUUCUCCCUUUCUCAUUUCUUGCUCUACCCAUAACAAAUCGAGAGAGUGAUUCACGCAGGAAUGGUGAGAGAACUCGAGUUGCAGAAAUUUACGAAGAAGAGGAGGAGAAUAAAAUGGGUCGUGUCAUAAUUGGAGACUUCAAUGGGUCCUCCAAUGUAGAGUUUGAGUUGUAGUCCAAUGCAGCUAAUGUGAGUAUUCUACUCACUAAGAAAUUAUUAUUUUUAUGUAUUAUGGAUUUACAAAAUAUAUAUGGUUUUAUAAAUCUGAACCGACUGUAUGUUGAAAUAUAUGUUUUUGAUGAUUUGAGUAGUUUCGAUUAUGUUCAAACUAUAUCAAUGAUGUUUAUGAAAUGAUGCAUGAAUGAAGAAUAUUGAAUUAAUUUUAAGAGUUUGAAUGUGUGCUACGGUUGGGAUUUGAAUUAUGUAAAGAAAAAUGAUAACAAUGCAUGUUGAUUGAUUUAUUGUUUGAAGAGAGCAUAAUUUUCAAAGAGGGGUAGAUUAUGGAAUUUGAAUUGUAAAGCAUAAAGCAUGAACAUAAUAACGAAAGAGAGGGUAAGCAUCGUAAUAAUGAAAGAGAUGGUAAGUCUCAUAAUAACGAAAGAGAAGGUAAGUCUCAUAAUAACGAAAGAUAGGGUAAGCCUCAUAAUAAUGAAAGAGAGGGUAAGCUUCAUAAUAAUGAAAAGAGGGUAAGCCUCACAGAGAAUAAUAAGACUAUCAGGAGCAUGCAUAACAUAGUUUACAUGUGUGUGCUAUUUUUAUGAUAUGUAUAUUUCUAUUGCAUGAUUUAAAGGCAUUGAGCUUUAAUAUACUUAGAUUACUCCGCUACUGGAUUUGAGUAAUGUAAGUGUCUUGCGGUAAGUAGGUGAAAUGUUAUUUGUUCUUCAGUAAAGACGUGCUUGCAUAUUGGAGUUUCACUCUAGUGCUCGCAUGAUCACCUGUUAUUCAAAGGCAGGAAGCUAAAAUGCACUCGACACGAAGUUACUCACAUUUGGCAACGUUGUAUCUUUGUAUUGCUGAGUAAGAUGCCAUUAAUUUGUGCUCAAUAUACUUAGAUUACUACAUUACUGGAUUUGAGUAAUGUAAGUGUCUUGCGGUAGGUAGGUGGAAUGUCAUUUAUUCUUCAGUAAAGACGUGCUUGCAUAUUAGAGUUCCACUCUAGUGCUCGCAUGAUUAGCUGUUGUUCAAAGGCACAAAGAUGUAAUGCACUUGACACGAAAUUACUCUUAUUUGGCAACGCUGUGUCUUUGUACAUUUGAGCCACCAAAUCAUAACAAUAUUAUAGUAGGUGAGAAUGUAUGUAGUUGCUUCCAAUGUGGGAUGGCUGGAACUUCUAUAUAUGUUCACAGCUACAUAGUAUGCUUUAAAUGUUUUCUAUUAGUCGAUGUUUACUAUAUCAGCUAUGGGGUUUUUCAAACAAAGUUUAUAAAUUGAUAGCUGUUAUAGUGUACUCGAGACUAAAAAGGAAAAGUUGGUUUUUCGCGAAAACUUAGUGAAUAGUAUACCUUUGAGGUCUUAGUGUAUUUAUUUAUGCUAAGACGGUGGGCUCAUAAUUUCACCUAUACGGAUGUGGGAAACAUCUACAACCGUAUAGAUGAUGAUCCUUUGGCUAUAGGUAUUCCGGUCAUAGUUGAUGGUGUUAUAGUAGUAUACUUGAGAUAUUAUGACUGAAGCUUACCGCGACGGUUGUAAUCAUUCGACCAUGAGUUGUCCACUAUUUUAUAGGUUUGUUUAUGGUUUGUGACGUUUGUGUCACUUGUUGUAUAAAGUCAUUUAUGUUAUGUAUAUAAUUUUAGGAAAGAUUUAAUCAUAUAGUUAUUUAAUGGCUCUUUGUUGUAAUUAUUUGUGAUAGAUGUAUAAGAUGUGAUUUCCGCUA